rnacentral:tRNA from 1 species
CAAGAUGUAGCUUAACGAACUAAAGCACCCGGCUUACACCCGGAAGAUUUCCUAUCUCUAGAACAUCUUGA